GACAGAGGAGGCAAGCGUUGUUCGGACUCAUUGGGCUUAAAACGCGCGUCGGCGGCCUUGUAAGUGUCUUGUGAAAUCCCACGGCUCACCCGUGGAACUGCAGGGCAAACUGCAAGACUUGAGGUCGGUAGAGGCGCCUGGAACUCUAGGUGGAGCGGUGAAAUGCGUAGAUAUCUAGGGGAUCGCCGGAGGCGAAAGCGGGGCGCUGGGCCGAUUCUGACGCUGAUGCGGCGAAGCGUGGGGUCGAAACAGG
rnacentral:rRNA from 1 species